UGAGGGCUCACUUUGAACACCCAUGAACACUAGGGAGAAAUCACAUGGAUUAUCUUGACUCGCAGCAAAGGGUAGAUAAUGUAUUCGUUAACCAUCAUUUUCCUAAAUAAUCAGUCACAACCUUACAGACACAUUGGGAACUUUCUUUUCAAGCUCCCGAGAGAGCUCGGGAAGGCCUGCUCAGGAAGACAAGACAUUUGGCCACGUGGUACCAGAUUCCUUCGGCACUCAAAAGGCUGAGGGACUAAGACCCUCUGAAAAACUGUCUGGGUGGCAGGACACUGUAGCUACUGUAUGCAAAGCCACAGUGGGAGGCACUGACCAUUGAACAAGUGCUCAGAGGCCAGAGAAGAAGCAGCUUUUCAAUGGAAUGAUCUCCGUGAUGCUCAAAACGAACACCUCCAAAGUGCAGGCAAAUUCCUCAACAUUGUUUUGGUAUUUGAGAUCAACAGAGAAGUUCAACUAAUACAUCAUCUACUAUCAAGGUCUCUCUCCACACUGGUCAACCCCUAUGACAUCAUCUGCAGCUUGAGAAACAUUGACCUGUGCAUUUCUUCACUUGUGAAUAUGAUUUCACGCUAUCAACAAUAUUAAACUGACUUACCAUGAGGUCCCUAACAGCCCACUGCCCACCAGAGGUAGUAGAAAAGAAAGAACACAGGAAAGUGGACCUGUUUAGAAAUGGUUCUUUGGAGCAACUCCCAUCUGUGUUAUCUGGAAAGCAGCAGUUCAGUUCACAGGUCUUGCCUCAGCACAUGUAUCUGUCUCAGCUGACAUCACUCUGGCAAUCAGUCUGAGUCCACGGAAGUUGCAAGAAACCAUGGAAAGCCACCAAAAGGUUUUGGGAGCGUUUCUCUCUUGACAAAAGGAGCUCAUCUAUGCAAUGUAAGGUAGACAAACAUGUAGUUAGCAAAGAAUCCUUUACCAUGUGUUCUUUUAUGUGCUUGCUUUAGCAGGAUGUCCUUUCAUUUGUGUCUUCCUUAGCCUUUUACCUGUGUCCACUUUAGGAAAACACUCUUUCAUGUGUUUGUCCCAGCAAAACAUCAUCCAACACAACUAACUUUCCAAAGAACAUUUUAGUUUCCACUUCACCUUUUCACUUCAGCUCAGUACCCAGUGGGCAGGAGUCCCACUUACCUAGGAGCCUAUCAUUGAUUUCCCAACUACCUGACAGCAUUUCACUUUUCAUAUAUAUCUAGAACAUGAUCAAAACAGGAGGGUAAGACACUAAACAGUUUGCCCAAUCUCCCACACUUUUCAAAUUAAUGAGUAUGCGACCAGUGUAGAUGAUUUUCUAGUUUCAACUGCUGCUAUUUUAGAAAAAAAAAAUUAUUUGGGGCAUUCGAUUGUUCUUGACUGGAUAAUUUCUAAUUUUUUUGUAACUUUUAUUUUGUUUUUACAAAGAUUUUAUUUCUCUGCUUUUAAUAACCAGAGUACAAAUGUCACUACUGACUUAGCGUGUAGUAACUGACAGAAAAUCUAAUGGUAAAUUUGCAUAGAUGAGAGUUCUCCAUAUAUUGAAAAGGAUGCUAGCAUUCUUGACAGCUUACGCUGUGCCACUAUUAUUAUGUGACACUCAAGUUCUUUAGAAAUGCUUAAGACUAAGCUGCUAAGUAAGUAUGUAGGCCUCUGAAAUAAUCUUCCCCAUACUGUGUUACUCUGAGUCCUUUACCAUUGUGUCUUUAUUUCUUGUCUCAUGGGCUUUCUCAUGUCCUGGCUGAAGGGUUUGUUCUUUCCUUAGACUCCUCCUCUCUUCUUGGUUAGUACCCAUCAUAGUGACAUGUGACAACCAUGUCUCUCAUGUGCUUCUGACUUUGCAUCAUAUUCCUCUGUGCCUCUUCCUUUGUUAUCUAGGUUCUCCCAUGAUUCCAUGUUUCUGCUUUUGCUGUUUUAACCAAGGCAUCUGUAAAGAGCCCUAGAGGUGGGCUGCAAAUUUUUCUUACUUGAAAACAUCUAAUAAGCAACAGAAGUCGUUCAGGCUUCUUUGCUUGUCUAUAUUUUAUCUUAGGAAUCUUUUCCUUGUUUGCUAACCUGAGUUGACAUUUGGAAGACUGGGGGAUCACAUGACUUAUAAAAUGAACAAGAAAUCAUUGUGCUUUCUAUGCUCUACCCACUCAACUGAGCACUCGAGUUUAAUCCUUAGGGCAAGUUUAAAAAAUUAGUAAUGUUGGCUCCUUUGACAGUUGUAAAGCUUGUAAGAAUGCCUUGGACUUGGUGACUAACUUCUUGUGGGACCUUUAAAUAUUAGUGAAAUGUUUGUGUGUCACGAAAGGAAACCAAAAAAAAAUGGAACCUUCACUAUUAGGAAGGAGUGAAGUCAUUCAGUGCUCUCGGCUGUCUCUGCCGCUUGUGUAUCCUCAGAAGGAAGCUGGGGACUUUUACUCCGAGGCUCCGCCCACACUGGCUUCAUGUAGUGUGUUAUUGAUGACGGUUGUACUCUAUAGUGGAAUGCCUGUGAAAACGAUUCAGAGGGAAGGUGGACUACGUAAGUUCAAAAGCAAUGAUACCUUUGAAUUUCUAUAUGACUAGCUCAAAUUGUUUAAUAAUAGCAGAGAUGUUAUAGUGGCAAAGUGAUAACUCUCUGUGACAUGAUGCCUGACUGAAGGCUGGGAAGAUUUACUCAGGCUCAUGGCUUUGGAGGUUUCAGGUCUGAUAUGGUGGGGAAUGUGUGGCUACAGAAACGUUGCCCAGCUCCAUCAAUGCUAACAGGAUCCUGAGGUGGAAUCCACUCUUCACACCGAGGCUAUUCAGGAUGCAGGACUGGAAGUAGAGGUAGAUUGUAGCCCUCAAAGGUAUGCCUGCAGUGAUCUAUGGAAUAGCACCACCCACUAGGGAAUCAAGUGAGAGAGAUUCCUCAGCUAUAAACUAAAACAGAUGCACAACUGUGUCACUUACAGUUCUAAGGUGGUUUUGAUCUUCAGUAAAAUUUAUGUGUAAUUUCCUGUUCAAUCACUCCACCCUCAGUGCAAUCCUGCUUUUUUUUAAAAAAAAAAAGCAUCUUCUAAAGCACAUAACUCAAUGCAAUGACGCCUCACAUUCCCAUUCCCAUUUUCUUGGCCUCAUUCUUAAGACCCGAUGUACUAAAAGGUUUCCCCUCCUGUCAACUGAUAGUUAAUAAAGGGCGAUGUAGGAUCCAGGGGUGUAUCUCAGUGGGGGUGUACCUGCCUAACAUGCACAAGACUUUGGGUUCAAUUUCCAGUGUCUUAAGAUUGUUAAAAUAUUAAUUUGAUAUGUUUUAGUAGUUGGACAAUGACUGGGAAUCAAUGAAUGGAUCACAUGGCCAGCAGCUACUCAAUGUAGAUGCUAAACUUCUAGUGGACUGGAGUCUUAUUAACUAGCUAAUGAGGCAGAACAUUUCAGUUUAGUGAUUGACUAUGGUGACAUUUCCCUUCCCUCUCUUCCUCCCCCCCAGUCUGUGUGCAAUGAAAACCUCUACCACAGGACAAAGAUUUCCCCAAUUUCCUCAGUCCAGGUGGACUAAGGCUGUUUCAGGGCUGGCUGUGAGUGGCAAACAAAAGUAUGAACCCCAUGUUGGGCCUUUCAAGGUUCUGAAUUAGCCAGGCUCUUGCAAAGGGCCAGGAGCUGGGAGUUGGGCCUAGUUAAUGCUGGGUGGAAAGCCAGGAUUUACUCACCACCUUUGUGACUCUUUGCAGCCAUCACUCAGAGUAUCUGGGACUGGAAGUUUCCUUUUUCACUCCUGAGUUCCUUUGUGAACAGCGUGAAGGGGCUGGGCAAUGUGCCUGGAUACAUUAUUUCACGGGCGCCUAGUUCUUCUUCGCCCUUUCUCCAGAAACGAGCUCUUUUUCCCCUUUCACUGAGACCCAAGUUUUCUCAUCUCUUGGUGACAUGGAAAUACACAGGAAGAGGAUAAGUCUUGUGAGAGCUAGUGAAGAGGAGAUGGGUGAUGGGGAUGGAUACUUUCGCCUGAAUCCCCAAGAAAAAGCUGUUCCUUAUAAACAGAGCAGUUGCUGUUACGAAGAACAAAACCACAUUGUUCCUUUCUUUAGUUCUGAAUGGAGUUGGUUAAGCUUUCAGCGUUAAGUGUGAAAAGGGGCAAGGAAAAGGACAUACCCAUGCUCAGCAAUUUUAAAUAGGAAACUUUGAGGAAUACUGGUGUAUGCCAGUUACAGAAGGAUGAGACCUCAUCCAUGAGAGUAUGUACCUUUGAUUGGCUUCUGCACUAUACUUUAAAAGGAAGUUCGCCGUGGAAUACCACAGCAAACCGAACGUGCAGCCUGUCAGCAUCAGAAAUCGCAGCAGCCAUAUCGUCUCUUUUCAGGGCCUGGAGAAGCAAGAGUCCAAAUGGUGAGUAUCUGGCAGGUGUCACUCACUGUGCUGUUUCUGGAGCACUUUUGGCCCCAUCCUGGCACAUGGAGAGACAGGCAGAUCCUGACUCAAAUCGUACCUGUAUGUGGAGUUUCUUAUGCAAGAUGCAGGAGGACGCCCAGGGAAAGCACACCUCAUCACAACAUUGAUUCAUUCCUUCUCAUUCGUCGCCGGGAGGAGCUUAGAAGCUUUAUCUCCUGUAUAGUGGUCUGGGAGGAUCCCGUGCUUGCUCUCCUGUCCUCCUCUUAACACAAAGUUGAAAGGAACAAGAGUCCCCGAGCUUACAGAAUGCUUUCUGUUUGGGUCUUUCCAGCUCUUGUUGGUGUCCCUGUGUGCAGGAGUCACUUUAGAGACUGAGUUAGUACACUGGUCUCACAGUAGGGGACAGCUAGAAGUCCAGAGAACAUUAGACGAAAUCAGAUAAAUAAUAAUUGGUUUCUUCUCUAAUUCUAUUUCUCAAUGAAUCCUCAAGAUGUCAUUUUUUUUAAGACUCAUUUACUUUGAUUGUCUGGGGCCUUUGCACGUAGGUGUGUGUGUGCACCAUGAGUGUGCCUGGUUCCUGAGGCGACCAGAAGAGAGCAUCAGAUGCCCUGAAACUGUAGUUAGAAACAGUUGCAAGCCACCAAUCAGAUGCUAUGAACUGAACCCAAUCUCUCUUUGAGAGUCUCAAUUCCUCUUAACUGCUGAGAUGUUUCUCCAGCCCCUAAAUGUAUCAACUCUUCCUCCUCACUCAGUAUCACAGGGACUGGGUUAUCAGUCCCUAGGGACCCCAUGUGGCAUGCAGAUAGAUGACCCUGACUUCUUCCCAGCUUGGCUGACAGUCCCUGGUGAUUCUUUCAUGGUUUCAGGAUUUAUAGGAAAUUGAUAAACUCAUAAUCUCAUAAAAUAGAAACAGAAACAAUAGUUCCAUAUUAUGGUUUAAGCUAGAGUUCUAGUGUAGUUUCAAGGUUAGAAACAUGAUUUUUACAUUCCAUUCUAUUAACUAGAUUUCAAACGGUAACCAUAAUCUAAAUAUUUCGGAAUGCAAGCAUAGUUGAAGUCAAUUUUUCAUGAUGGGUGUGAGCACAAGUUUAUUACAUUUAAUUAUUUUCUUGUUCUGCUGGCCCCCAUGCAUGUUAUCCAAGUGUGGUACCAAUGAGUAUGUCUUUGAUGUAUAGAUUAUUAAAUUUAAAGGAAAGACAGUAAUGGGGACUGGAGGGAUGUCUCAGUGAUUAAAGCACUUGGUGGCUUACAGAGGACGAGGUUCAGCUCCCAGUCUCCACAGGGCAGUUCACUACCGCUAGACCUGGAGAUUCAGAGGUCCUGAUAACUUCUACCUCUAAAAGCACCGAGCAUGCACAUGGUAGACAUGGUAGACAGACAUAUAUUCAGGCAAAGUACCCAUUCAUACAAAAUGAAGAAAAAUUAAGAAGAAACACCAAUAAUGUUAUUUCCAAGGAAAACAGAUACUGUUGUUUCAUGAUGAGUGCAUGUGCACAUAAAUACAUGCAGUGUUUUGGGGGUUCUCACGAAUACAUGGAGAAGUCAGGAAACAACUUUGUACAACAGGUCCUCACCUUCAGCCUUUAAGUGGGUUCUGGAGAUUAAACUCAGGUCACUGGGCUUGCAUAGCCCAUACCUUUACCACUAAGACAUCCACCAACCCUCAAAGAUAUGUCUUUGACAUGAAGCUAUGUGUGUACCAUGCUGAAAGAGAGGAUUAUGUGGUAGUAGUGAGUAGGGAGAGAUGGCAUUUGGUUUGAAGUUUGAGAAGCCACUGGAGGGUGUUUAAACGAAUUGAUACUCAGCAAAACGCUUCAAUUACAAAAUGACAAUGAUAGCAGCAUCUACUUCACAGGGUCCUUGCAAGGACUGAGUUGAUGCAGCCCACAGAACACUCAACCAGGUAUAGCAUUUAGUCACUACUGAAUUAACACCAGGCAUUACUAAUAUUAUCAUCAGUAACAGGAAACGAAAUGAUAGUCUAGAGAAGGGAUGUUUGCUUAAGAGGUUUCUAUUAAUUUUGCUUAUGCUUAUGUGUAUUGGUGUGGGUGCAUGUCACGUGUGUGCAGGUGUCCACAGAAGCCAGAAGUGGGUACUGGACUACCAGCUCCAGGCGAUAGUAUACUGCCCAACAUGAAUGCUAUGUGCCAAACUCUGGUCUUUGGGAAGAGCACCAAGGACUUUUAACUGCUGAGCCAUCUUUCCAGCCCUAAAGUGUGAAAUGCCCAGAAUAACUCCCUAAGAGCAAAGAGUUUCUGGGAAAACCAGGAGGAAAACCAGAAGGUAGAGACCCCACAAACUAGGCUAGUAAUUUUGGUGACUCAAAUCAGGAAAACUUGAGUAAGGUGUAUAGCCCAGCAUUGGGUGAAAAAUAAGUCAAACAAUUUCUGUGGGCCACAGCAAGUAUCAGGGCCACUUGGAUAGGCUCCAGUCAAGAAGGCAAUGUGGGGAUUAAAGUUUGCUUUAGGUCUUCACGGAGCCAGGGAGCCAAAGAAGCCAGCCAAUCUUCAAGCCGGAAAGGGAAACAGUCCAUUUCUAACCUGUAGCUGUUCAAUGAAAUGUUAUGAAUUAGAAGAGAUGAGCAGAGGCAGAAAGAGCUUUCCUGGCAAAUUGACGCCACAGCUAUCCCCAGAAAAUACCCAGGACACUGGAGAUGCUCCCAUCAUGUUUGCUGGUUAAAUGACCAACUGAUUUUAUGGUGACAGAUUCAGUGGAUGGCCAUGAGCCUGGGGACAUUAGUCCUGUAGCCUGUGCCUGCACCACUGCAGACUGUCUUGCCUCCGUUUCCCCGAUAUGCUUCUCCGCCCUCGUACCAUUCAUUUAGGGAAGGAUGGUACUGGGUAUGUUGUGUCGUCAACUCCGAGAAGGACAGGAAAGGAAUGUGUCAAUUCAGUUGGAAGCUGAAGAGGUACUGCAUCGUUCCUCGGAAUACAUAGCCAUAUGCAGAGUUCAAGACCUCACAGAGUGAAACGCCAUGUACUCAGGAACUCAGAGAACUGGGCAAUCCUCUUGAAGUGAAAUGACCAGGUCCUCUGCCUUGUUUUUGCUGAACUUUGUAAAACAGACAGAUCUGGAUGUAGAGGGGAAAGUGGGAAAGCUUUUAUGGGAACAAAGGGAACAAAGAAUCCUGUGUGUAUGUGUGUGUGAGUAUGAGUGUGAAUGUAUGUGUGUGUGCAUGUGUGUGAGAGAGUGUGUGUAUGAGAGUGUGAGUGUGUGUGCAUGUAUGUGUGUGAGUGUGUAUGUGUGUAUAUAUAUGUGUGAGUGUGUGUAUGUGUGUGUGAUUGUGUGUGAGAGAUCAUGUGUGUGCGAGUGCAUAUGUGUGUGCAUGUGUGAGUGUGUAUGUGUGAGUAUAUAUUAUGAGUGUGUGUGUAUGUGUGUGUAUGUAUGUAUGAGUGUGUGUGUGUGACUGUGUGUGUGUGUGUAUAUGCAUGUGCAUGUGUGUUUUACUUCUGAAACAGUAAGGAUGUGGGGAGCACUGUUCACUCAUAUUAAUCAGUAAUGGCCAUGCUUCAUGAAAACAUGUUUGAUCUGUUGGUCAAAGAGAUUAUAUUUGCUUUUGGGGGGUUUGGAAACAUAUUAGCAGUUUUGGAAUCAGUAAAUAAUGAUACUUCUUAACAUUUAAAGUCCCUAAUCAAGAAAGCACAAGAAGCAAAUGGAGUAGGUAGGAGACAAUUGAUGCUCUAAAAGGAAUGUUACUAUCCAAGCUGAAUGCAUAUGUGGCUAUAGGAGGAAAAGGCAAAAUGAAGAAAAAAGAGCAAGAAGGUCUCCAGGGUUUAGAGCCUAUGAGAUACUAAGUCCAUCAAGUGCUUCUGAAACAGCUCAAAUCAGGUGUUAGUGAGUGAGACAGUAGAAAGAAUGGAAGAGUGUGUGUAUUUCUACUUCAAUUGUAUGAACGCUCUUGUAAAAGGGAGCAGAGACUUAUGUUAACCUUGCCCAGAAGAAUUCGGGUCAGAGAGGACUAACUUUUGAAUUAGGAGAUUAAUCUGACACUAACAGUGGGUAGCAUUGAAAAGUCACUUCACUUCUGGUGUCCUGGGUUUCCUGAACCAUCAAGUGUGGGAAUUAGAUGCUGUACCCUUGGGUAUCCUCCAGUUCUGACUUUCUAUGGCUCCCUGAGAUGGCUGUAGCACCUGUUUUCAAUUUUAGCUCUUAACGUGUGUCUCCUUAUUCUUUAAAUCUGUCUUUCUAGUAAGCUGUGGCAUUCAUUACCAGGCUUCCAGUCAUUUCCUUUUAUUCUAAAGAGACUAUAUAUUCUAUUUUUCAGCUCUAGCUUUUCCAGUCCCCUAGUGUUGAAACCGUUCUUGUGAGAACAGCUGUAAAAUCAUCUCUGGGUUUUAGUGGAAGCCAUGGCUGGGAAGCCCCACUGGCCAAUGGUACUUGCAAGGUUCAGCCUAAGAAGAUGGUCUCCUUGUUUUGAUGAGAAUUUGAAGUGAUGUUCUGUACUGUUACAAGCUGUUUUGACUUAUCUGGGACAAUAAGGAAGGCCUCCUGUUUCCUGAACUUUGUUAUUUCCGCCCUGGGCUUCUUCCUCUCUGGUGCUCAACAUCCUUAAAGUUUCCUUGUAGGAUAGCAGUGAUCUGCUCUUCAUUAGUCAGCUUGCCUCCUCUCACAGCUUUCUCCUCUGCUCAGUUACCACAGAGUUAACGGUGGUCAUUACCAGUCAGCCACAUUAGCCACGCUUUCAGCCAGGAACCAAAAGGGAACAGUCCCUCUGGCGGAAUUUGGCAGAAGAGACAGGGAAUUUGAUUCUACCUGUAGAUGGCAAAGAGGUGCUCAUUGAUGAGUCAAGCAAAAAGGAUACACUGAUACCCAGUCAGCCUUCACUAGAGAGGAGACGGGAGGCAGUUCCUUGGCCUCCUACUACUGCUGGAAUCUGCAUCAGGAGGGUCACGAGUUCAGACCCCACUGAACCUGAAAGGAAAAGAUUUUUCCCACUGAAGUCAUCUCACCUAGACACUCCAUCCCUUCAACUCCCAUCCUCGCACACUUAGUCUAUGCUACAGAAAGACAUGAACUGUGUGCAGAGAGCAGUUCUCACGUGGGCGUUCACACAGGUCACCCAUUGCUUGACCCUAUUUAGUGUUUACGCUGCACUCCACGUCCCAACUCUGUCUCAAAGCCUCCUUGCUUUGAUCACCCUUUAAAUCUUAACAAUAAUACUAGGUUAGUGCCUAGGCCCCUUCUCACAGCUAAUAUUUAAGACAAAACUACUAGCACAGGAACACAGCAGGUUGGGCUGGAGGCUGUAAACAGCGGGAUAGAAGUUCAAAGGGCUUCCGGGAAAUACCAUCUCAUCUCUUCUACUGGAUACCGGCUCAGGUUUCUUCUCUAGUUUCUAGGAAGAAAGGUCUUCGCUGCUUGAGACUUUCAGGAUCCUUACCUGGUACUCUUAUCUCUCCUGUCCACUGCUAUUCCCAGACCUCCACUAUCCCUCUUAUAUUUUUGGUUGUGAGCCUAGCCUUUAACGGCUGAGCCAUCUCUCCAGCCCUCCACUAUCCCUCUUAUACUCUAGCAGGUAAGAUGCAUAUAGUGCACGGUAGUAACAUUAUCAGGUUGCUCCCACCAUAAUGCCCAUGGUGCACAGAACCUCUUCCUCUCGUUCCCCUCACCCCUCCCAUAGUGGUGGUGGUGAUGGGUGUAUGAUGUUACUUUCUGUUCCUGCCACAAACCAUCUAUGGAAAUUCACUUACAAGGAGGAAAGAUUUGUUUUUGCUUAGAGUAUCAGAGAUUUUUAGGCUAUGAUGUCUUGAUUCCAUUGCUCUGAGCCUGUGGUAUGUCAUGGACUUUAAUCCUGGGGAGGUAAAAGGAGAAAUCUAUUCACCAAAGACAGAGAAGGCAGCAGUUGCCCAAAGAAAAAUUUCAAUCCAGGACUAGCUUGGUAAAGCAAUACAUUUUUUGGCUUUAUUUAGAGGAAUACAGGCAGUAAAACCACUGAGAAAUCCCUUCGGCAACUUAUAAAUAGGCCAUAUUUUACAAUAAAGCAUUCCACCCAUAGCUAGAUAUAUUCACAAAAACUACACCUCUGAUGGGUCCUACUGGCCAACCUAUGGGACACUAGACCACCAGUCUCCCUUUAAUUCCCAGGAACUGUUUAUCUCUUAAGUAACUUCAGGAAGAGGAGGAGGUUUUGUGAGUCUAUGGGGCCCUUCCACCCAUUCUAAGAGGUAAUAGUGCCUUGGUUAGGGUUCCCAUUGCUGGGAAGAGACACCAUGACCACAGCAACUCUUACAAAGGGUCUGGCUUACAGUUUCAGAGAUUCAGUCCAUUACUGUCAUGUCAGGGAGCAUGGCAGCAGGUAGACAGACAUGGUACUAGAGGUGCUAAGAGUCCUACACCUUGAUCCAAAGGCAUCCAGGAAGUGACUCUCUUUCUGGAAGCUAGGAGGAGGCUCUCUUUCCACACUAGGCAUAGCUUGAGCAUUGGGUAUCCUCAAAGUACAAGUGUCAUACUUCCUCCAACAAGGUCACACCCAUUUUUAACAAAGUCACACCUCUUAACAGUGCCACUUCCCAAGGGCCAAGCAUAUUCAAAUUACCACAUUUCACCCUCUAAAUCCAUAGGCUUGUUCAAACACAUGAGUCUAUGGGUGCCAUACCCAGUUAUAGCAUAAUGUAAAAUAUGUUUAGUCCAAUCUCAAAACUUUCCAUAGUCUAUAACAGUCUCAAUAUUAAAAGUCUGAAAUUCAAUAUCUCUUCUAAGAUUCACGCAAUCGCUUAGCUGUAAUCCCAUAUAAAAUAAAAAACCAAAAGCAGAUCAUAUAUUUCAAAUAUAUCAGAGCACAAGAUAUACCAUUCCAAAACAUCAUAGUGAGGCAAUACUGGACCAAAGCGAUACCAAAACCAGCUGGGAAAACUCCAAACUCUGCAUCUUCAUGUCUGAUGUCCAACUCCUUUCAGCUUUGUUGACUGCAAUACAAUUCUUUCUCUUUGGCUAUUUCCAUUCCCUGUUAGCAACUUAUCCCGCAGCUCUGACAUCUCUAACCUCCUAGGGUUUCCAAGUCAACUUCAACUUCAUAGCUUCUUGUUUCAGUGCCCAGGAUCCACAUAUGAUCUUCUGGGAUGUUCCAGCUCUGCCCUCUGCCACACUCUAGGCUCUGGUUGACUUCUCUCUACUUCUGCUGCUGUUCUUGGUGGUCAUCCCAUAGUAGUGACAUCUGCAAUAUGAUGGGGUCUCCCGCUGCAACUAGGCUUUACAAAUAGCCUCUCAAAGGCUCCCUUCAUGAUGCCAAGACUCAACCUCUUUGCAUGACUCCUUCAGUCCUGGGCCAUCAAUUACAACUGAGGCUGCUCCUUCACCAAUGACCUUUCUUGGCCUCUCACAAUACCAAGCCUUAGGUACUCUCCACAAUCCCUUCAUGUCUUCAAAACCAGUACCACAUGAGUGAUUCUUAUACAUGAACAAGUCCAGCUUCUUUGGGCUCUCAGAAAACAUUUCCUAGAAGAUUUCACUUCAGUGAUGCUGGUCUCUUCUUAAUCACCACUGAUUUAACCCUAAGACAGAUAGUAAUAGACCUGAUGUCAAGGGAAUCUUCACAACUAUUCUAUUUAAGAUAAGUUAACCCAGAGGAAGUAGAUUCUCAUUAGUUGGCAAUACGCACUUAAGUACAAGAGUGUGGAGACACUGAUCACUUUCUGCUACAUGGGAAGGAAGUAGUAGACACUGAGGUCCCACUAUCCCAGUCAAGAACUUAACUCCUACUGAUCUUUUUUUUCCCAGACCUCUUCUAUAAAGGGAGGUAUCAUUAAGACAGGAUCAACUACCCCCAAGGAGGCAAAUUAGCUAUUUAGGGAAUGCAAACCCAUAUCUACAGCCUAAGCUGAUAGGAAGCAGUGUCUAUUCUAUGUGAGGGACAGCAAUGAGCCUAGCUUUACAGAAACCAUGGAACUAAGAAUAGUCAGAGAUGAGGGAUGACAUGAAAGUCUGUCUGUGUUACCUUUUCAACUGUUAGAGAUGGUGACUUGUGAAGGGGGCUGAGGAAUGGGGGAAAGAUAGUCAGUAGAGACAAAUUGUUAAAAUAUUGGUUUUUACUUUUUUGAAGUUAUAAUAUAAUGACAUCAUUUCCCUCUUCCCUUUCCUCUCUCCAAACCCUCCUUGCUCUUUUUCCUUGACCUUUCUCUUCAUUAAUUGAUAUAUUAUUUGACAAUUUUGAUGAUUUUUCUGAAGAAUCAUGUUAGCUAAACCCCUGUAGUGAAAAUUUUGGAAUUUUUAUUUCUUUAAAGAAAACACAGAAAUAUUAUAAUGCUCUGUUUUUGUUUUAAUCCCAGGUGUGAACUAUGGGGCUGUUUCAGACUGUCCACAGCAGCUGACUAUGAUUUGCCUCAUGCUCUAGCAGGGGUGUGAUUUUGCCAGUCGUAAAUACUUUCACAGGUUGUGUGAUGCUUGAAAUUGUGGGAAGUUUUUAAAGGUACAUAAAAUGCUAGGGCCCUGGAGACAAGGUGGGUUAUUGGCUGUCAUUGGUUCUUGUUGGUCAUGGCUUGUUAAGUAGUCAUGCACAAAGAACAAGAAUAAGAAAUUAGAUAUCCUGACAGGCAAAGAUCAAACUUACUCCAUGGAACCUGAUGCUUCUAAUCAGUGGGAAGCAGUCUAAUGAUAACAUCUCCACUUUCCUCUCUCUCCUUUUUUCUCUCUAGGAUUAAGGGAGUGAAAGGGUGGUGAAGGAAGGAAGGAAGAAAGAAGUAGCAAAAGAAUAACUACAAGCCCCUAGUUAUUCAAUUGCGGGGGGGGGGGAACACCACAGAGAUACUAGAUGACAUCCCUAAAACAAAACAAAGAUUAACAAGAGAAAAUAUUCAUUGGUGUAAUAAACAUUUUAUGUGGUGUAGGAACCUUCAGAGUGAGACCUCAGUGACCUGGGGAAAUCUGAGCAUGUUUAUAGAUAGGCAGAAGUAGGUGCUUUGAAAAAGAAUGUGGUCUAAUUAUGGCAACCUGGGAAACGCAGCAUAGGAAGACCCAGUCACUGCAGUUCUUCGUAGCCUUUCUAUAGACACCUCUACAGGGUAGGACACCUGUCACUUGAGUGCCUGAAAUAUAGAAGAAAUGGGUUAGUUCCAAGAAGAAUCUUUUAGAUUUUAUGGUCUAUUUUAGUAAUGAAAUGGUGGCAGAAAUUUCCUUCCCAUGAGACACCCAGAGAGAAUGGCAGGAGAGAGUCAACAUAUACUCUUGCCUUUGUGGUCUUCUUUUCCCUCAUCGUAAAAUACUCAGAAUGCCAAGGUGCCAUCUUUGGGGUGGGAAAGAAAGCAGAGAUGACAGGCAAGUGGGAAUUCUUUCUGUCCACUUGAAGUGGGCUUGGUCUGAAUUGGCGAAAGACCCAAUGUGAUGAAUACAGAAAAGUGUCUUGUUUCAUAUAAGCACAGAGGUAUACAUAAUUAUCUAUUAAAAUGAUCAUAUUACUCUUGAGAAUCACCCAUAUCUGCACUUUUUCUUAUGACAUGAAAUGAAAACAGACUGCUUACA